UGCAGUCGAACGAGUUUCUAAAGAGGGCAACCUAAGAAGAGAUGUAGUGGCGAACGAGUGAGUAACGCGUAAGAAUCUGCCUACUAGUAGGGCAUAGAUAAGAGAAAUCUUUUGUAAUUCCCUAUAAAUUGUUAGCAAAAAAGGCUUCGGCCGCUGGUAGAUGAGCUUGCGUCUGAUUAGGUAGUUGGUGGGGUAACAGCCUACCAAGCCGAUGAUCAGUAGCCGGUUCGAAAGAACGUACGGCCACGCUGAUAUUGAGAUACGGAUCAGAUUCCAAUAGGAAGCAGCAGGAGAGGAUUUUGGGCAAUGGGGGAAACCCCGACCCAGUGAUUUUGCGUGGGUGAUGAAGGUCUACGGACUGUAAAACCCUUUUAGCAACGAAGAGAAAAGACAUUAGUUGCAGAAAAAGUUCCGGCUAAUUUGCGUGCCAGCAUCCGCGGUAAUACGUAAGGAGCGAGUGUUGCCUGGUGUUAUUUGGCGUAAAGAAUGCGUAGGCGGUUUGACAGGUCUUCAAUAUAAUCCAUAGUCUCAAGCUAUGUCUUUUGGGGAAACCGUCAGACUAGAAAUUCUUGUGGGACAAGGGAACUUUCUAUUUAGCGGUAAAAUGCUUAGAUAGAAAAGAACGCCGUAUGUGAAAACACUUGUCUGUAGGAAUUUGACGCUGUUGCAUGAAACCAUAGGCAAAAACGGGGAUUAGAUACCCCCUUAUUCUAUGGCGUAAAGGAUGAAGACUAAUGACUUACAUUUCAACGUAUGUAUGUUGUACAGUUAACACGUUAAGUCUUCCGCCUGGGAACUACGGUCGCAAGACUAAAACUCAAAGGAAUUGACAGGNAUGUACAUAAAUGGUGGAACACGAAAAUUAAUUGGCCAGCAAGCCAAAAAUCUUACCUAUUCUUGCAUCUAUUU
rnacentral:rRNA from 1 species